GGGGUUGUGGCUCAUUGGUAGAGCACUUGCAUGCAUGAGGCACUGGGUUCAAUACCCAGCACCA
rnacentral:tRNA from 1 species